UAACGACACAUGUUUUGCGCCACUUUUCACUCUUUUUCAUUCCCAAUGUCUUCCACUUCAUAUCUCCAUUCCACGAUUUCCACUUCCAAACCCUAAUUCUUUCACUUCUUCCUCUCUCUCUCUCUCUCUCUCUCUCUCUCUCUCUCUCUCUCUCUCUCUCUCUCUCUCGAAUUCGAAAUCGAAGAUCUCAGACUCAAGAUCCCGGUAAAUCAGGGUUUUGAGAUUGAUACUACUACCACUACUGAUGCAGGCGUUUUCUUAUUUGGAAGAACAACUUCGGUUGUGUAUAGACGCGAAGCUGUGAAUAAAAUUGAAUGAUAUACAGGUCAAUGCCACUAGUUGCAAGAUUUCACAUUCUAAACAGAAAAACACUGUACUUUUUUCAUUCCUUGCUGUGUGCUUGUUUCAUGUUGGGAAAAAAAUAGUUGAAGAUACAAAAGUAUGCAAGUUGUUGAUCUCCUGUCACUCUGGCGGCAAUCCCAUCUGGUGUUGGGAAAGUUUGAUCUUCAAAAUUAGCUUUUGCCAGUGACGGUUUAAUGUGCUGUUGGAAAACAUGGCCCGGUAAAAAGGAGCUGAGGCUGAAAACAGAUAUGAAACACACUUUUGACAACCAAAAAAAAUUCACCAAGGCUCAGUAUAUCCACCGGGGAUAGAAGCAGACUCUGGAUUCCAGGCAACAAGGGCCUUAGACUGGUCACCCUCAUGUUCUUGCAUCUGGUUCUGUACAUUUUUUGCCAACACUUCAAAAUUGAUAUUGAUAGUAGGGAUUUCAUCAGGAUCCUCC